rnacentral:rRNA from 1 species
GAUCAUGGCUCAGGACGAACGCUGGCGGCGUGCCUAACACAUGCAAUUCGAACGAAGCACUGUGGAUCAAGACUUCGGUCAAGAGAAACUUUGACUUAGUGGCGGACGGGUGAGUAACGCGUGAGGAACCUGCCUUUCAGUGGGGGACAACAGUUGGAAACGACUGCUAAUACCGCAUAAUGUUUCCGGGUCGCAUGAUCUGGGAACCAAAGCUUUAUGUGCUGAAAGAUGGCCUCGCG